CCUACGGGAGGCAGCAGUGGGGAAUAUUGCACAAUGGGCGAAACCCUGAUGCAGCAACGCCGCGUGAAGGAAGACGGUUUUCGGAUUGUAAACUUCUAUCAAUAGGGAAGAAAGAAAUGACGGUACCUAAAUAAGAAGUCCAGGCUAACUACGUGACAGCAGCCGCGGUAAUACGUAGGGGGCAAGCGUGAUCCGGAAUUACUGGGUGUAAAGGGAGAGUAGGCGGUAAGGUAAGCGAGAUGUGAAAGCCUUAAGCUUAACUUGAGGAUGGCAUAAGAUACUAGCUAGCUAGAGUACAGGAGAGGAGAGCGGAACUCCUGGUGUAGCGGUGAAAUGCGUAGAUAUUAGGAAGAACACCAGUGGCGAAGGCGGCUUUCUGGACUGAAACUGACGCUGAGGCUCGAAAGCGUGGGGAGCGAACAGGAUUAGAUACCCCUGUAGUC
rnacentral:rRNA from 1 species